rnacentral:lncRNA from 1 species
AGGCAGUGCGUUCCUGAAUAACAAGUGAGGAAGAGUACAGUUUCUGCUUGCAGGCUUCCCAUAGUUAGCCUAUUGGCCGCUGUGAGAACAGGAUGCUGGACUAUAUGGGCUUGAUUCAGCAGAACUCUUUUUAUGUUUUAACUUAUCAGAUAUGGGAAGUCUUUUGGCACCAUUGGUUUAUCAUGUACUGAAUUCCCAGCAGGGUGGAACAAGAACCUCAUGGUUCACCCUUCAUUAUUCAUCUGCUAAUGGGACAGAAGAGGAGAUAAGCAAACAAAAACAAGGUUUUGAAGUUCCAUCUUGCCACAUGAGAACUCCGGAGCGCAACCUGCUGGGAAUUUUCAUCAGAGUAUUUGUGUGCCAUAGAAAGAAAGGACAUGGACUCUGUACUCUUCUGCAAGUCCAUGCCAGUCUGAGGUGUUUUUAAUGUGUUUCAUGCCUGCCUUAUCAUUGCACAAUUACUUUUGUGGUGACAUUUACUCCUGACAUUUCCCUGGAUCAUCACAUCUGACCAUUUAUGGAAAUCCAAAUUACAAUAGAUGGGCUUUUAUAAUUAAAGACCACAUAGGAUGACAUAAGUGAAAAAAACAAUUACCUCAAAAUUACAUGCAAUUUCCUAGCGGCACAGCAAACAAGAACUUCUUAUCACUGUGGGUGGUAGACUUGCUAUCACUUGCAGUUUUCGAAAUUACAAGUCACUGUCAUUCAAAAAAAAUAAAUCCUUUGAGCCAUCAAGAAUCCAGCAUACUGUAAAUUCAGGAAAGAAUUACAAUGGUGGUUUCUCACAUUAAAAUUCCUCAAUGACAAACUAGUACUGUCUUGUUUCUUCCAGUUUGUGGGUAGCUUAAACUACAGAUGAUACUUUAGCACCUUAAAAACACAAAAGGCACCUUAAAAACAAAUUUAUUAUGCCAUAACAAUGUGGCUACAGUCCACUUUCUCAGAUGCAUGAAGUGUAGUCCUGAGCUAUAGGUACAUCUUCACAAGACUGUAGCACCAUGUGGGUGUCUUUCUUGCCCCAAAGCUCUGUCCCUGAUGCAAGUGGUCCAGCUGCUUGUUCAGGCAUCCUCAUCCCUGAAGGAGGAAAAGGUUGGUGGCACAGAAGAACUAUUCCAGUGGAACGGUCACAUGGCAGAUAGCUGGCAGCCCGGAAGUUGGGAUUAUGCAUUUAUAUGAUGCAAGCUUAAUGCUAGAUAAAUAAGAUGACUCAGAUGACUUGUUUAUCAGAGCACUGAAGUCACAUGGUGGUCAGUUGUAGUUCCUUGCAAAUCACUGAAGCAACAUUGAGAUUAGAAUGGUCGGAAUUUCACUUACAUUCUUCUAGCUGCAUUUCUAGGUUUCAAAGGACAACAUUACUUUUCCUCUUUAUUUAGAGGUUUGCAUAGCUGAAGAUGGAAGGUGGGCUG